AGGAAGAGAGGAAGGAGAGACGCAGAAACCGAGGGACAGAGGUCUAAGUAACAGGGAAGCUGUGGCGUCUCCUACUGCUGCUGAAGACACUAACCAGGAGAGAGGAGGAGAGAAGAACCAGGAGAGAAGGAAACCCAAGGGGAAGAAGACGAUACAACAUGAAGAGGAGGAGCCUGAUGAGUCCUGGGACUAUGGCCUGAGGGAUGCUCUCUACACCGCCUGUAAGACUGGAGACUUGGACACCCUCAUCAGACUGUUACCAGUGAGGAGGGGAGAGCAGGGUGGAGAGGAGGGGGACCAGGAUGGACAGAGGGAGGAGCAGGGUGCAAAGCCAGAGGGAGAGAAGAAUCAGGGAGAGGUGGAGGAGAGCUGCUCUUCCCAGGACCCUGCAGCCCUGAACCCUGCAGCCCUGAACCCUGCAGCCCAGGC